rnacentral:lncRNA from 1 species
GCUCUUCAAUGUUCAAAUACCAAUUUUACUUCCACAAGCCUUGCUCAACAAUAGAAAUCAUUGCAUAAGACAUGAACAAUACAAACGGAGUCACAUUAAUCAUAGUAUAAGACUCACGGGCAUGCUUGACACCAACGCAUAGAUACUCGUCACCAUACCUAUACGUCGUACUCAAUAACCAAUACAUAGCAAAUAGGCGAAACUCCUAAUCCCUCAAGCUAAGGUUAGACCAAAUACUUACCUCGAUGCCACGAACAUAAUUCAAGCCUCAACUACCGCUUUACCUCUUGAUUCCACCACCAAUUCACAUGUAUCUAGCCACAAGUUACUUAACUAUAUCAAUAAAUGCUAAAUAAAUCAAUUCUAAUGCAUGAAAAUAGGUUUUCUAAAUUUUUCCCAAAAAGUUAAAAAUCGACCCUGGGCCCACAUGGUCAAAACUCGAGGUUCGAACCAAAACCCGAUUACACAUUCACCCAAAAACCCAAAUAUAUAAUUUGUUUUGAAAUCAGACCUCAAAUCAAGGUCCAAAUUCCCAAAAUUUGAAAAACCUAGGUUCUACCUAAAACACCCAAUUUCCCCCAUGAAAACCCUUGAUUUCAGUUGAAAUCAUGUGAAAAAAUGUUAAAGAUUAAUGAAAGCGAGUUAGAAGUGACUUACAAUCGUUUUGGAAGAGUACUUGUCUUUGAAAAAUCGCCCAAGGGUGUUUAGAUUUUGAAAAGUUUUGAAAAAUGAAAGAUUUACGGAUAAGUUAUGAAUUUGCAGGUCGCAGAUGUCGCAAUUGCGACUUGCGAAUCCUUCAGAACCUACUAACUUCGCAAAUGCGAUGAUUUUGUCACAUUUGCGACACUGAAGGAAUCCGGUCCACUUCGCAUUUGCGAUAUCACAUUUGCAACCUAAGGCAGCCCAGGUCAUCUUUGCAUUUGCGAUAAAGCUUCGCAUUUGCAAGCUCGCAUUUGCUAGCCAGGCUUCGCAUUUGUGAAGUCUGCAGACCUGCAACAUACCAGCAAUUUCCUAAGUCCAAAUUUCACUUUGUGGCCUAUCCAAAACUCACUCGAACCCUCGGGGCUCCAAACAAAACAAUCUCAAGAUCUAUGAAUUUAGUAUCAAAAUCAAAAAAAAAAAUCUCAAGAACUUUCAAAGUUUCAAAUUUUACAACUAAGGUUCCGAAUCAUAUCAACUUCUAAUGGUUCUCUUUUGGUCUCCACUAGUUUGCUCGAGAUAUUCCUUUUUUUUUCCAGAAAUCUCUUGAUAUCAUGAUACCAUGGCUGAACAUUUGGUUCCACCUCAAUCGUGUUGCAAUAAACAUGCCUUUCUCGGAUUUGGAUUUACAAUGGAUCAAUGUGGACAUUGCCUGGAUAUGGCAACAAUGAGGCCAAAGUAGCGAGUGCAUCGGCCAACUCAUUGUGAAACCAAGGAAUGUACCUGAACUCGACUGACUUGAACCGAUUGCUAAUAUCUUCCACACAUUUCCAGUAUGGAAUAAGCUUGACAUCCCGAGUUUCCCAUUCACCCUGAGCUUGUCGGAUAAUCAAGUCUGAAUCUCCCAUGAUUAACAAUUCUUCCACCUCUUGGUCGAUUGCCAUGUACAUGCCCAUAAUGCAAGCUUCAUACUCGGUAGUGUUGUUUAUGCAGAAAAACCGAAGUCGGGCCGUGGCUGGAUAGUGCUGAUCAGUGGGUGAGAUCAUGAUUGCCCCAAUCCCGACACCUUUUGCGUUUAUAGCUCCAUCGAAUAACAUUUUCCAAGCAUUAGCAUCGUCUAAAGUUACCUCAACUGAAUUUACUUCCUUGUCCGGAAAGUAAGUACUCAAAGGCUGAUACUCAUCAUCAACAGGAUUUUCUGCUAAGUGACCUGCUAAAGCUUGAGCUUUCAUUGCCAUGCGGGUGACAUAGACUAUGUCAAACUCGGUGAGAAGGAUUUGUCAUUUUGCUAACCUCCCUGUGGGCAUCGGCUUUUGGAAUAUGUAUUUCAAAGGAUCCAACCUGGUGAUGAGAUAGGUGGUGUAGGCCAACAGGUAAUGCCUAAGCUUCUGAGCGACCCAAGUUAGGGUGUAGCAAGUUCUUUCCAACAAAGUGUAUUUGGCCUCAUAACUGGUGAACUUUUUGCUCAGGUAGUACAUGGCUUGUUCCUUCUUCCCGGUCACAUCAUGUUGCCCGAGAACAUAUCCAAAGGAAUUCUCCAAGACUAUCAAGUACAAAAACAAAGGCCUCCCAGGUUCUGGUGGGACCAAGACAGGCGGAUUCGACAGAUAUUCUUUAAUUUUGUCGAAGGCUUCUUGACACUCAUCUGUCCAUUUAAUCGUUGCAUCUUUCUUCAACAGCUUAAAUAUGGGCUCACAUGUGGAAGUCAACUGAACAAUGAACCGGCUGAUGUAAUUCAACCUUCCCAAUAGACUCAUAACCUCUUUCUUGGUUCUCGGAGGAGGCAAAUCCCGAAUAGACUUUAUCUUUGUUGGAUCUAGCUUGAUGCCCCUCAGACUGACUAUAAAUCCCAAGAGUUUCCCAGACGGAACUCCAAAUGUCCAUUUAGCUGGAUUUAACUUCAAAUCAUACUUACGCAGAUGCUCAAAGAACUUUCUCAGAUCCCAAACAUGGUCAUCUUGCGUUCUUGAUUUAAUGAUUACAUCGUCCACAUACACCUCAAUUUCUUGGUGCAUCAUGUCAUGAAAGAUGGCAGCCAUAGCUCUCAUGAAAAUUGCCCCGGCGUUCUUCAAACUAAAAGGCAUGACUCUGUAACAAUAGGUGCCCCAUGGUGUGGUGAAGGCUGUCUUUCCCGCAUCUUAUUCAUCCAUCAAGACAUGAUGAUAUCCAUCAUAGCAAUCCACGAAAGACUCUAUCUCAUGUUUGUCACAAUUGUUGACAAAGAUGUGUAUAUUUGGCAAAGGGAAGUUGUCUUUGGGACUCGCUUUGUUCAGAUCCCGAUGGUCAACACACACUCGAGUUUUCCCAUCUUUCUUUGGCCCUGGAACCAUAUUAGCCAACCAUGUGGUGUAUCGGACCACCCGGAUCACCCCCACCUUUAACUGUUUGGUGACCUCCUCUUUGAUCUUGUCACUGAUGUCAGUUUUGAACUUCCUCUAUUUUUGCUGGACAGGGGGAUGAUCGGGGUAAGUUGGCAAUUUGUGCACCACUAAAUCGAUAUUUAGUCCUAUCAUAUCAUCAUAGGACCAAGCAAACACAUCUUUGAAUUCGAACAAAAGUUGGAUCAAUGCAUCCUUAGUUCCUUCAUCCGUGUGAAUGUGUAUCAUGGUUUCUUGGACCUCUUCUGAACUACCCAAAUUAAUCAGCUCGGUUUCAUUUAAGUUUGGCUUAGGUUUAUUCUCGAAUUGUUCCAGUUCUCGGUUUAUUUCCGUAAAAGCCUCAUCUUCAUCAUAUUUCGAUUCUUGAUUCAUUAUUUUACAAUUAGAUAGUGUAUUAGGAUCUGGGCAUGAAGUCCGCAAGCAUGUCAUGUUAUUUAAGUCCGUAUUAUUAGAAAUGAAAGAAGAAAUAAGAAAAAUAACAAAAUCAGAAUGAAUAAAGAAAGAGAUUCAUAGACAAUGAAAUAUUGAUUUCAUUUCAUUGAAUUUGAAGAUAGUAGGGUUUACAUUGGAAUUUUAAAGACAAUAAACUAAAAGAAACAUUCGACUUACACCGUAGAAUAACUCGGAAUGCAGAAAAGGUGGCAAGACUGGACUACCGGGAUUCCCACCUGACUGGGAACGGAGUAGCCUUCCAAUUCUGAAGCUUGGCAUCGGGCCCCAUAUAUUGUACCUCAGCGGUGCUCGAGCCUUCUCCCGGCAGGACCAUGUGAGCUUCAUAUAACAUUUGCCUCAUGGCUCCACAUAUGUCCUCAAUUUCCUCAGUCGUGAAGGCUUCAUAUUCUUCUUCUUCUAUAUACUUUGGCUUGACGAAUGUUUUGGAGAGAUGCUGGACCGGCUGAGGUAGAAUCCACCCGUCAUUCUUACGUUCUUUAUCCCAUUUCACAUUGGCUUCUGUAGCUUGAAAACCGACACCAAAGAAGUUUUUACUGGCAGUCAAGGUGAUGGGCUCUGUAAUACCUUGCAAAUAUGCCCCGAGCCCCUUCCCGGGCUUAUACCCGUGCUUGAUCAUUUCAGUAGCGACCAUGAUUGAUGCGUUUAACAAAAUGAGUUGAGGACACGGGCUCCCUUCCUCACAUUGAUCUGCGACUACAACCUCAAAAGCUUGAUAGACUAUGUGCUCGCUACCUUCCCUAGCCUCAAGUCAUGGGAUCAACGGGUCCCUGUAAAUUGAUUGCUCGUCCUCUCUAUGGACCAUGAUUUCUUGAUCUUCGUGUUCAAAUUUUACCUUUUGGUGGAGAUUAGAAGGUACGGCCCCUACAACAUGGAUCCAAGGCCUUCCUAAGAGAAAAUUAUAGGAGGUAUCCAUGUCCAAGACCUGAAAUGUCACUUCGAAAUCCACAGGACCGAUAGUCAAGAUCAAAUCAAUCUCCCCUAUUGUGUCUCUCUUGAUGCCAUCUAAAUCACACACAAACAUUGUUAGGUCUUAUUCUCUCAGUCCUAAUUUCCAUUCUUUACAAAGUUGAGAGAGGGCAUAUGUCGACCCCAGAUUCGCCAUCCACCAUGACUCUUUUCACAUAGUACCCUUCACACUUAACUAUCAGAUGAAGAGCUUUGUUGUGGGCAGCCCCUUCUGGGGCCAAGUCAUUUCUGCUAAAUGAAAUCCGGUUGACUUCGAAGAAUCGUUUCGCCAUCCUUUCCAAUUGCUCAAUUGUGAUUUCAAUCGAAACAUAUGCUUCAUUUAGGGUCUUUAUCAACACUUUCUGAUGCUCAUUCGAGCUUAUUAGUAGAGACAAGAGCGAGACCUGAGAGGGAGACUUCUGAAGUUGGUCAAUUACCUCGUAGUCUACAGUUUUCAUUUUUCAAAAGAAUUCCUCUGCUUCUUCGGCACUGACUGGCUUUUUAAGCGGAAAACGCUUCUGUUUGGCGUUGUUCACUUCUUCCAGAUUGAGGUACCUCCCAGAUGGGUUAGUUUCAUUUACUUCCCCCAUGAUUUCUUUCCCCUCGUACGUCACAAUUGCUUUGUUGUAGUUCCAGGGGACUGCAGUGGGGUCUUUCAUGGGCUUUUGUGGAGCGCGGCUAAUGAUCACGGGCUCAUUAAGUCUGGGUGGAAUUAUUGGUCCCCGCACCACAUAAGUCCCUUUGGGUACAUACAUCUUGGGUCCCUUAUUCAGAUCGAACAUUUUAGGAGGACUCAAUGCCAAUUGUUCUUUCCUGUGAGCCCGGGGAACAUAAAGAAUGGCGUCUUUAGGGGGUACUGCCCCUGUUUUGGUUUCCACUGUCUUUUCUACACUUCGAGGAGUGGAGAAACUCUUCUUAUCUCCUUUUUCUUGCUUUUCAACCACCCUUGGCUUCUUUUCAACAUCAGUGAUAGCAAUGAUGGCUUUCAGAGCUGGGUCAAACUCUUUAUCUUCACAAAUCAUCCCAAUAAUUGGCCCGUUGUUGUGAGCCGGCAAUGGGUUAUUUGUCACAUUGGGGAUCUCAUCAUCUUUCAGCACUACCCUCUUUUGCUCUAUUAGGUUUUCGAUUGCCCUUUUGAGAGUCCAACAAUCUUCAGUGUCAUGCCCUUCCACUCCUGAAUAGUGAGCACAUCGAGCACCGUGUCGGUAGGAGGGCAACUCUGGGUUUUUCCUGGUUUGGGGUACGGGUUACAACAAACCCAUUUGGACCAAUUUAGGCAAAAGGCAAGAGUAUGAUUCACCAAUAGGCGUGAAGUUGUUUCUUCUAGGUGGCUCCCGGGCACAGGCAUUGUAUGGAAAAUUAUUUUGUGGGGGACGGGGAUUAUAUGGAGCUUGGUGAGGAGGGUCAUUUCUAGGAAGUGGAGCUCGAUUUUGGAUAAAUUGUUGUUGUGGCCGAGCAUAUGGCUAGGCAUUCGUCACCGCAUAAGGCUGAGGAGGCAUGACAUAAAUGUCAUGACCCAAACCGAUAGGCCGCGACGGACACCCGGUACCUUACUCAACCGAGUACCAACGUAACGUAUCUUUCUUAUUACAUUAUCAUAUACACAUGACAUACGGGCCUAAUAGGCCAACAUGAUUAUUUAUAAACUCAAGACAUCGGCCAACAAGGCUGUACAAUCUUUCACGUACACGACAUAUGUCUACAAGCCUCUAAGAGUACAUAAAUGUCAUAAAGGUCGGGACAGAGUCCCUCCAUACCAAAAAAUACAUGUCUAAAUCAUACCAGCCAAACAAGCAACUCCGAAGCAAAUGGGAGCGCACCAACAUCUUUCGCUGAGCUAAUAGCCUACUUGGAGGGCUCUCGACCUGUCUAUUGGGACCUGCGGGCAUGAAACGCAACGUCCCCAGGCAAAAGGGAUGUCAGUACAAAAAAUGUACAAAGUAUGUAAGGCAUAUAAAUAAGUACAUAACAGACAUGGAAGAAAUAUAGAGUACCUAACUCAACCUGUAAGUCUGAAUAAUUCUGUUAAUCAUGAAAUACUUUUAGCAUCAUGCAUAUGCGUAUGAAUGUCAUGUCAUGCAUAGGUACAUGUCUCAUAAUAUCAUCAGCCUCUGAGGGCAUUCCAUUAUAUCAUACGGCCACUUUGGGAAAAAUCAUCAAUGUAUAUCAGCUGAUCAGGUGGUGGUGCGUAUAUAACGCCAUAACCUCUUCCCAUAUCACAUAUACAUAUACAUACAUAUAUACGCGUAUAUAACGUCGUUUGAAUCAUAUUUCAGCCGUUGUGGUCAACAUCAUCAUCAUAUACCAGAUGAUCAGGUGGUGGUGCGUAUAUAACACUGUAACCUUUUCCCAUAUCCCAUAUACGUAUAUUUACAUAUAUACGCGUAUAUAAUGCCAUCUGGUCAUGGAUCAGUGCACAUGUAUAAAUGAGUUAAAUGCAUGAAAAAUACAUAAUAAUCUUGAUAUUCCUUUUGGAUAAACUUUUUCAAUUGCGUAUUAUCCUGAGACCCAUGAACAGAAGAUAAUAAUAAUUCUCACGGGGAAUCAAGAAUAUAGACACCCCUACUAUUUCUAUGAAUAGAUUAAUUUAUAGAAACUGUGUAUUUGCUUGUUUCUUCAAUAUGAUUUGGGCCAUGCCAAAAGAAAGAAGGGAGGGCCUUAACAUACCUGGAGUAGGAACGACUCCGUAUAAUUAUCCCCUUAGAAACCUUCGUGGAUUGAACUUAGAACCCAAAAGUCGGAUUUAGGCCUUUGCAUUUUUGAAUUUGAGGAACGAAAUUAGCUUGGUUUCACUGCCAAAAAUAAUGAAAUGGAGCCAAGGAAUUGGACGAGAAUAGUUCUUGGUUUCCAAUGCCAAAGACAUUAAACUUGAAAUGAAAGCCAAGAUUUAAAUGAAAGUACUUGGAUUUUAAAAUACUUGGAUAUGGCUAACUAGUUGAAUGCUUGGACGAAAUGUUCUGUUUAAAUGUUCUUGGUUUCAAAACCAAGAACAAAUUUGUUGGCUAGUAGUUUGGACAAAAAUGAUUUGGUUUUCCAAGUUCUUGGUUUCAAACCAAGGAAAAUGACUUGAAGUUUUAAAUUGUCUAAUUAGAUAAGACUUUACAAAUCGUAGCAAGAUUUGAUUUUAAGUCUUGUUUUAAUUUAUUCCCAUGUAGCCAACUAGAAUAAUGACUACUUAGUCAUUGUAGUCAUUGUCUAGGCUUUGUGGCUCAUUUCCACGUGGGGGGUUUAAUUAUUAAUAAUUUAUCCACUUAUUAGUUAACCGGGUAAUGUUUUGUUACCCGGUAAUUAAUUAAUUACCCGCAUAAUUUAAAAUUUAUCACAAAUUACUUAAAAUUUUAUUUAUUUUUGAAAUACUUCAUAUAUACUUUAUAUAUUAUACUACCAUGGUCAUAUGGUACCUUACAUGGUACUAGUUCAUAAUUGUAGGGUAUUAUCGCUCGACCAGUAUUUUAUUCUAAAUUGACCACUUUCAACGAAACUCAUUUUCUUUAAUCCAUGUACCCUAUUAUUCUUCAUAACACUUAUUUAUUGCUUUCUAUAAAUAACGUAAGUACGUUAACGUCAAGAUAAUCUCAUCCCCCAGUCUUACAUCGGUUAACUGAAAAUAAAAUUUUAACGUACAGUACUUCAGGGUGAAACAUCGUCGUAACUUAAUACUGCAAAAUGCGAUAUCACCAUAAUGUAAUACUGCGAGACGUGAAAUCUCACUUCCAAGCUCUUAUUAAUUUAUUUAUGGCGUAUUUUCAUGUACAAAAAUAUGGGGUGUAACAAUAAGCCACAUCCUGGUAAGGAUAAUAAUGUUGCGGGGUGUUUGGCGGGAAGUAACCUUGGGGUUGACGGGGUUCCUCAGACUUGAAGCCACCAUAACCACUUCUUAUUUCUUCUUUAUGUUUGCUACACCUCCUGACCCGCUCUAGAUUGCUUGGGACGUAGCUCUUAUGGCAGAUUGGCUCAAUAUGCAGCCUGUCUUCAAACCAUUUUCGACCAUCUCCCCAAUUUUGAUAGCCUCAGCAAACGGCUUUCCCAUUGCAGACAUCAUAUUCUGGAAGUAGUCAGCCCUUUGGGAUUGUAGAAAAACACUGACCAUCUCAGUCUCAUCCAUCGGGGGCUUUACCCUGGCCGCUUGUUCGCGCCACUUAACAGCAUAUUCUCGAAAACUUUUCGAAGACUUCUUAUUGAGAUUAGAUAGAGAAUUACUGUCUGGAGCUAUGUCUAUAUUGUACUGGAAUUGCCUGACAAAAUCUCGAGCCAAAUCAUCCCAUAUGUGCCAGCGAGACAUGUCUUGAUCCAUGUACCACUCGGAUGCAAUGCCAACUAGACUCUCUCCAUAAUAAGCCAUUAGGAGCUCUUCUUUUCCUCCUGCCCUUCUUAGUUGAUUGCAAUACCUCUUGAGGUGGGAUAUGGGGUCCCCGUGCCCGUCAACUUUUCAAACUUGGGGGUCUUGGAACCGAUGGGCAAAUGAACAUGCGGGAACAUACAUAAAUCGGCGUAGGAUACGCUCUUCUGGCCACUUAAACCUUCUAUAUUCUUAAGACUUUGCUCCAUGUUUCUCAUUUUCUGAGUGAUUUCCUCUUGCUCGAGAUUCUUUGUAGCUCUCUCUUGCCCCGCAGUAAACUUAUACUGGGGUUGUUGAGGGUAAGAAUUGGUGGUGAAAUGGGCAGUGUCUGGUGGAAAAGAUGGCACUUGGAAAGUAAAGGAAGAUGGAUCAAAACUUGGCCUGGGCAAGGUUGGUUGUGUUGUAGCCGUAGUUGGUGGUGCAGUGAAUAUGUUAGAAGCCACUCCCGAAAUCAAUGCCUGGGGGAGAACCACAGAAGGCGUUCCGGCAAAGUGACUGACAUGGUGGGGUAUCCAAGUGGGGUGUUCGGGUAACUUAUUGGGAUGUUGGAAGUUCCACUUGCUCUAGGAAGUAGCUCGAGGAAACCAGGUAUUACACUCGACGGCUCUCUGUCGUUUGACCAAGCGUCCCACAUUUCCAACAUGCGGAGGCGCAGUGCCCUAUUCUCUUCAGCAGUCGCUGACUCUUAGGUUUGGAUAACCGAUAACUGGCUAUCAUCUGGGAUGGGAAUUGUUGGUAUAUGACUAUUUGACGACAUUUCGACACUUUCCUUGGAUGUUGUAAAGGAAUGGUGCAAAGCCAGGCUACCACAAACCAACCACCUUAAAAACAGAACCUAUACUCAACAAUAGACACAACAAACCGGUUAGUUCGAAGCAAUUAACAUAUAGGGGAAUCGCACAUUGGGGGUAUGAUGCACAUAUAUAGUUAAAUGUGUUUCUACAUGUUUUGCAAUGGUUGCGUGUCUCAUCCCGACUUUUGUUUAUCUCCCCGAUCUUUUCUCUUGCUCUCUUUUGCACUCUCUUAUUUUUCUCUCUUGUUUUCAUUCUCUUUUUCUUAUUUUUCUCUCUUUUUUUCUUUGCUUUUUCCUUUUGUUUUUCUCUUUUCGCCAUUUUCUCUUUUAUUUGAGUUAUUUAAAACCAUGACCUGAUCGAUGGGGAUUGCCUACGUAUCACGACGCCACAUGAAUCAAAUUAUCACGUGGUUCAAAGAUAAAUGCGAAAUAAACAAUUUUGGUUUUUUUCAAAUUUUCAUUAAACAAAAACUUCUAUUACAAAGACUCGAUCAUAUAUACUUAAAACUCGAAAAACUAAAACAGACUCUAGGAAUGAAAAUACAGACUCGAAAAGAGAAAGGAAAACAAUCAGAAGUACAUAAGUGCCUCCAAUCCUACCAUAGGGACACCAGUUGCUCUUGCCGCAGGCCUACGUGCCAUUUAAUCUUGGAGGCGAUAGAAGUCAUCCAUUAUCUAGCGAACAAAGAUCAUUACUGUGGCGAAGAACAUGGACAUGCUCAUGUCCUCACACUCAUUUCAUUUCACCACUAUGUAGUCGGCGAUUCUUCUAACCCUUUCCCUGAUGAUGCCCUUUUUCUUGCAACAACCGCCUUAUUUGCUGAGAUCUGGCCUCCAAAACCUGGGUAGCCGAAUGAUUAUGCUCUUGCAAAUGUUGUAGGUCUUCCUCUAGCUGUUCCAUCAAAGCGUAGCAAUGUUCUCUCUCGGCUUUGAAGCUCUUGGCUUGUUUAGUCAUUUCACCCUCAAGGGUAGUUAGCUUUUUCUUCAGGUUUGUGACUUCUCCAUCAUAUUUCCUUUUUAAUUGCCGAUUAAACUCUUCCCGUCCCUCUACGUUCUUCGCCAACUGUGCCCGGGCUCUUGCCAAACUGCCUUCAGAUUUUUCUAAAUCAUUCCCGUACUCACAUAUUUUCUUCAUAAGACAAUUAAUGAGUCUUUCAUCCGCUCGGCUUCUUUCCGGAUUCUCAUCAGCUAUCUUCAUCCUUUGGUUUUGGAGCCCGAAGGACUUCAUUUUAUUGGGCUAAAUUUUUCUUCUCCCCCUUAUCCGCAACGUUUUUGCACAUCACUAUCGAAAUUAAGGUCUCUGAUUUGCCCUUCCAACCUGCUUAUGGUGGCCCGGUAUUCAUUUUCUUUUGUCAUCCACUCCCACUGUUCUUGUGAUGCUUCAAUGAAGUAUUGGAGGUGGGGUCUUUUAGCUGGCCUUCCAAACUCAACUUUCCUUUUGUACCAAGCGAGGUAAUUGGGUGAGACUUCACCUUUGGAUAGAUCACGUACUCAGGUAUUUGCCGUCAAAUAUUAGCACUCACUCCAAAUCUGGCGAACCACUGCUUCAUGAAAUUGGCCAUCAGAACGGAUCUCGACCACGUGAAGGCUAAGGUCUUCGUCCUUGGGAACUAUUUGACAUCUUCCUAGCUAUCUCAAAACACGGUACGGGGAAUAAGGCUGGACACUUUUGAGACCCAUCGGGAGGAAGUGAGGACUGGUGGCUGGCAUGUAUAUGAUUUCAUCAAUAGGAAGUCAACCCAGUGUCCAUUCUAUCUGACUUGCAGUGAUGGAGUGGAGGCAAGAUACCCAUUCUGCGACCCCUUCUGGCAUUUUGAACCCAUCAACCCUUGUAUAAAAUGCCUUUAUGCAGUUUUCCCUAUCGACCCAUAGUUCAUGUACCAAGGACGAUGACAUAGAUGCUCAAUCAUCCAUAUUUGUAGCAACAAGUUGUACCCCUCGAAAACAUCUACUCUGUCUUUGCAGGGUGUGAGAGCUCAGAAUAUUUUAGACACUAUCAUGGGUGCGAGGGUGCUUUUGGCAUUGGUAAGCAAAGUGUUGACGACCCCGGCUAUCCAUACAUCGAUAUUCCCGUCCUUCCUGGGAAACACUAAAAGACCCAAAAAUACCACCAUGAAAGUGAAGCAUCUAUGCUCUUCCCAUUUUAGUCGAUUACCUUUGCUACAAAUUUUGCUUUACGGGUUCUCAAAUCCCCCUAUGUGUCUGUACCGCUGGUAUAUGAACUGUGGAGUGGAAAACCCAGCCGCCAAAUCUACAUAUUGGACCACCCUGCUUAUCUUUAGUACAUCUAGAAACUUGUGAGGGGUGACCUCCCUUGGGGCGACCAGAUAUUUAUGUCUUAGGGCUUCAGUACUCCCAACAUAACCGGCUAUCUCUUCCAAAGUGGGUGUGAGCUCGAAGUCCUAGAAAUGCAACACGUUAUGAGCUAGAUCCCAAAAUGUCACCAGUGCUUUUAUUAUGUCUCCUCUAGGCUUGAUCCUUAAUAACCCGGUGAGACCCCCCAAGUGAUGGUUGGCCACGCCUCGUCCUGAUUUACCCAAAUCUUCCCACCACAUGUGUAGUUCCAAAUGAAUCUUGGUCAUGACCUUCAUUGGCAAGUUUUGACUCGUGCUCAUUCUGCACAUUUAGAUUAAGGUGAUUGGUUCAAAACAAAGCGAAUUUAUAAAAAGGGUCAAUUUUGCAAAAAUUUAAAUAACACGGCUACUUUUGCAAAUACGGCCCUUCAGUAUUUUGAAAAGGAAUAUUUUAGGGCCGUGCUUGCUAGGUAGCCACAAUUUUUCAAAGAAACCUUUGGUGGCUAUUUUUGCAAAACCAGCCUUCCGGCGCCCUGUCAGAGCGUUUGGUUUAUUUAGACAAUAACAGUGUUAACCAAUUUAAUUUGAAAACAAAUGAAGACAUUUUCAAAUUUUUGGGUUAUUUUUGCAAAAGUGGGACUAGACCCGAUGAGGGUUGCCUAUGUAUCAUACGUUCGGUAAGAAUCGAACCCGCGUAGUUCGGUCAGUUUUGUUAUAAUAAAAAGACAUGAAUUGUUUUGAAACCAUUUUCCUUUCCUUUUUCCUCUCUCUCUCUCUUUUCAGAAUUUCGGCAGAGUUUCGGUAUAUUUUAGACAUCACGUUUUUCAAAGGCUGGUAAUUAUCGCUCUCAUACCUCAAUUUUAUUUUUCUCAAUUUCCUCCCUAUUCUAGCAACUGGUUAACACGCAAACCGAAGAAAAUAAUUGUACAAGUAGCACGUAAAAAAUGCAUCAAGAUGGUCUUUUGAUUUUGGGGUCCACCUGUCCUAGACGGACCCAUCCCCUGUGUUGAGUCCCCAAAGUCAAAUGCAUAUGAUGCAAACAAACGUUCCUACUAGGGAUCCGGCAUGAGGCUAAGUUAUUCUAGGCUUUAAAACCUGGGUAUAUUGUUCUAGACUUGGUGCACCCGAGCAGACAACAAGAGCCGAUGGGGGGUUACGUACCGAGAACCAAAAGGCCAUCCGGCUUUGUAACUUGUCCAAGCCUCUUUCUAAUUUAAGGUAUGACACUAAUAGAAAGAGGAGUCACGCCAGUUUGGACAUCCCCGAAGAUGAGAAGAGAAGGUUUUCGUAAUAGUUUAUAUACAAUUCAAAUAAUAUCAAAGCGGUAAAAAGCGGUAUUUAGCACAUUAGGCUCAAACAUGUACAAAUCAGAUAAUAAAUAAAGCCAAAUAUAACAAUUAUUCUAAGCUCGAAUUCUUGAACCCUGAAUCAGAAGUUCUGGGUUCUUGUCCCCAACAGACUCGCCAGAGCUGUCACACCUCCUUUUUACAUCCGAGGGUAUAUAGGAUUUUUUUCCAAUUAAAGUGACAUUAUUUGAAAUGGGAUUAUUUAAAUUAAUUUAUCAGAGUCGCCACUUGGAAUAGUUUAAUUAGUGUCCCAAGUCACCGCUUUAUUUUAAAAUCCCAAAUCGAGGAAAUUUCGACUUUAUUUUAAAAGUCUACGAACCAGAAAUUCUAGAUAAGAAAUUCUGUUAAUCCGGGAGAAAGUGUUAGGCAUUCUCGGGUUCCGUGGUUCUAGCAUGAUCGCUUAAACAAUUAAUAAUUGGCCUAUUAUCUGAUUUACUACGUGUUUUAAGCCUAUUGUGCAUUUUUAAAACUUUAUAACCGCUUUUAAUUAUUUAUUAUUACAUAUUGUGAAUCAUGUUACAGGAACCGUACCCAUGAUCUACAACAUGCUUAAAUUAAUGAAAAGUUAUUUAAAGUUGUGGCCGGGUCACAUAAAUAUACCCCUGAAUUUGAAAACUAGGUAUCACGGCUACGUCACGGGAACCAUAUCCGUAACUAUGAUGAUUUUAAUUAAACACGCCUAAAGCAAACUACGAGUGUUUAAAAAGGCUUUUUUAUACUAAGUUAAUAUUAAUGUGAGGGCCAUAGGUUAUGAGUUUUAUUUGGGUAUGGCACACCUCAAAUCAGUUUUUAAAGAAAAUAUUUGUAUUUUUUCUAUAAGGCAAAUUAAAGAUACUCCUACUUUAAUCUAAUUACGGCAUCACAACCACAUCACGGAACUGUACCCGUAGUUAUAAUAAUUUAAUUGCAUGCCUAAAGCAAACUACGGAUGUUUAACAGAUUGUUCACUCUUAAUAAUCAAGAUUAAAGGCGUAGGUUCCAAUAUUAUAGAAUUCAUUGCGGGGAAAGUAUAAUAUUUGCUUCUCAAAAUUGUUUAUAAGACAUAUUAUAUUAUCAAGAUGGAAAAUAUUUGCAACUUAAGCCAAACUAAUCACAUUAACUACCUUGCUUUGAUUUAAUUAAUUUUAAGAGGUUAAAUGAGAACACUAGUGUUCAAUGAUGUAAAGCAAAUACAUGCAUUCAUGGUUAUUCCACCUAAAAUAUUUAAAGCAUAACAUCAUCUGAAAUGAUCCAAAGGACAAUAGAAUACCUCAAACCCAUAAAAUGACUCAGCAUAUAUUUAUCCUAACAACUUAGGCUUGACAUGAAGCCUGAAUUAAUGAAGGUGGAAAUUUGUUAAAAAUAAAACAAAUUAGUGAACCCAAUUAUUACAAACCAAUAAUCAACAAACUUAGUAAAAAUUUUACACGAGACAAUCUUAUGUCAAUAGACCAGAUGAAGUAUAUUAGUUCCCAAAUAAGAACUCUUCAUUCUUUAUUCCUUUUCUGUUGUUCGGGCCCUGCUAUUUUUUCAAAUUUCAUUCAAAAACAAAGAUGCUUCUUUUCCACUCAACUAGCUUGAACAUUUUAAAAUCCAAACACCACUCGUAAUUAAAUGACAUGCAUAUUGCAGUAUGUUUUAAGUGUUAAGAUCAUCCCAAUACAGUAAGAAAUCUAACCAAACAAAUCAAAACCAUAUGAGUAAAAUAAACAAAACAACAUGAACAAUCUUGUAUAGAUCUAUGUUAAAUUCACACACUGGCAUUUUAAAUCACAUCUAACAUAGCAUGACAUUUGAACAUGAAAGUGAAUAAUUAUUGCAAAUUUCAUAACAUAAGAUUAUUCAAGCAAUAUUUACAUCAUUGGAAGUGUGAAACUCAUACCUUGACAGCAGUAAUAGCAAAAGAAACCAAGAAAAAAUAGAAGAAGAGCUUUCUGAAUCAUGAAAAAGAAACGAGCAGCAACAAGCAAUCAACAAUCGAGUGAGCUUGGGUCCCAAAACUGAAGGUUCGACCACAAUACAAACAAAACCAAAGCAAGAAGGAGUGACUAAUUAACUCGAAUAGCCAUGAAGAAAACCAAAAUUCUGUUCUUAAACCUCCGAAACUCCCAGCAAAGACCUCAAAAAAAUAGAAGGAAACUCAAAAAUUUCUUAAGAAUCCUUUUGAAAAAUUGGUUUUCAUCCAUUUGUGUUUUUUCUAUCCUUUUUUCUGU